rnacentral:rRNA from 1 species
CCUUAGCGCGGUGGUCCCACCUGACCCCAUGCCGAACUCAGAAGUGAAACGCCGUAGCGCCGAUGGUAGUGUGGGGUCUCCCCAUGCGAGAGUAGGGAACUGCCAGGCA